CAAGUUUUGCAGGAUGUUUCCUA
rnacentral:siRNA from 1 species